UGUGUAGGCGGGAUAGAAGGUACCAUAGUGAAAGCCCUCGGCUCAACCGAGGAACUGCUUGGUAAACCACUAUUCUUGAGGCCGACAGGGGUACCUGGAACUUUGGGUGGAGCGGUGAAAUGCGUAGAUAUCCAAGGGAACGCCGGUGGCGAAAGCGGGGUACUGGGUCGGUUCUGACGCUGAGACACGAAAGCGUGGGGAGCAAACAGGAUUAGAUACCCUGGUAGUCC
rnacentral:rRNA from 1 species